rnacentral:rRNA from 1 species
AAUGAUUGAUUGAAUAGCCGCGGUAUUUUGACUGUGCAAAGGUAGCAUAAUAAAUUGUCUUUUAAUUGGAGACUGGAAUGAAUGAUGGGAUGUGAUGGAUGCUGUCUUUAUAGUAAUUGAUUGAAAUUUACUUUUUUAUGAAAAGGUUGAGAUUUAAUUGGUAGACGAGAAGACCCUAUCAAGCUUGAUUUUGAGAGUAGUUUUAUUUUAUUUUAUUAGUAGGUGGAUUAUAAUUUAAAUUUUAUUGGGGCAAUGUUUGAAUAUAUUGUAAUUUUUUAUUGUUUGUUAGAUUUUGAUCCAUUAUUAGUGAUUAAGGGAGUAAGUUACUGUAGGGAUAACAGCGUUAUUAGUCUGGAGAGUUCAUAUUGGUAGAUUAGAUUGCGACCUCGAUGUUGGUUUAAUGAAUCUAUAUGGUGUAGCAGCUUUAUGAGAG